rnacentral:rRNA from 1 species
GACAUAGGUGGCGAACGUUAUCCGGAAUUAUUGGGCGUAAAGGGUGCGUAGAUUGUGAAAUAAGUUACUGGUGGUAAAUCAAGGCCUAACCUUGUGGAAGCUAGUAAUACUGUUACACUAGAGUGCAGAAGAGGUUAAUGGAAUUCCAUGUGGAGCGGUGAAAUGUGUCGAUAUAUGGAAGAACAUCAAUAAAGGCGAAGGCAUUUAACUAUUCUGCUACUGACGUUGAGGCACGAAAGCGUGGGGAGCAAAAAGG